rnacentral:rRNA from 1 species
GAACUGAAGAGUUUGAUCCUGGCUCAGAUUGAACGCUGGCGGCAUGCCUUACACAUGCAAGUCGAACGGUAACGCGGGGCAACCUGGCGACGAGUGGCGAACGGGUGAGUAAUGCAUCGGAACGUGCCCAGUAGUGGGGGAUAGCCCGGCGAAAGCCGGAUUAAUACCGCAUACGACCUAUGGGUGAAAGCGGGGGAUCGCAAGACCUCGCGCUAUUGGAGCGGCCGAUGUCAGAUUAGCUAGUUGGUGGGGUAAAGGCCUACCAAGGCGACGAUCUGUAGCUGGUCUGAGAGGACGACCAGCCACACUGGGACUGAGACACGGCCCAGACUCCUACGGGAGGCAGCAGUGGGGAAUUUUGGACAAUGGGGGCAACCCUGAUC